AAAAAGGAAACUCCGGUAUAGGUGACCCUCACAAAGUCAUUUAAACCAAAGAAAUGUAAAAAAUUGCUACAAAAAGAAAAAGAAAAAGAAAAACUUACCCACUGCUAGUUGGUUCAGAGGUAUCUGGCACUGAACUCGGUAGGGCGGAUUACGAUCCGAUCCCCCACAACUACAGUUGGGUCCAAUAAAAGGGUUUACACAUA
rnacentral:lncRNA from 1 species